GGUACCAAAUUCGGUCUCAAUGACCAAUUUCCAAGGGAGAUAAACAAACGUCRUAAGAGACUGUAUCCGGUACAAAGACAACAAAGGGAGAAUGGCCAAUGCUGCUUCCUUCAGCACUCAUGGAGAGAGAAGAGCAGAGAAGAGAGAGCAAGAGAGAAGUGGAGAAGAAAGUCUGUGGACAUAACUGAGCUUUCAUAUUGCAAACCAUGGCACAUAGGGUAUGGAUCCCCAUCAGCAAUGAGCAAUGGUGAGAUCAUGAUGAGGUUUCAUCUCUUCCUCUUUUCUGUCCUGUGGAUGGCGUGACGACCCUUUCAUCUUCUUCAACCCCUCCUAAUGUUCCUGGGGCACCGGCACUACCCUCCUUCUUGAUGCUGGGAAAGAUGGAGGGAGGUACAUACUAGUGAUGGGUGGAAAAAUCGAUACAGUUACAUACAGGGAAAUACUUUUUGACAAUAUAUUGUAUUGUUUUGACAAUAUCGCAAUAUUAUUUUUGCAUUUGUUGGCUGUACCGGCACCAAACUCCAGUAUUUUUCCAACAUAGCUUGUUUUCCAUCUUCUUUUUAAAUAGGGAGCCAAUUUGUUUUCAGCACUUUUAUUUCCGUGAAUGAUCUUUCUUGUCCCUCUCCAGCAGACAUAUGUUGUGCAAUAUGUUUGGAACAUCAAAUCGCAAUAAAAUCACAGUAUCGAAUCGCGAUACCAAUAGA